AAGAUCCCAGCAGCACAUAUACUAAAACUGGAACAAUAUAGAGAUUAGCAUGGCCCCUGUACAAGGAUGACAAUGCAAAUUUGUUAAGUGCUCCAUAUUUAA